rnacentral:piRNA from 1 species
UAGUGAAUUACCUGGUGGUAGAAG